AGAGUUUGAUCAUGGCUCAGAUUGAACGCUGGCGGCAGGCCUAACACAUGCAAGUCGAGCGGUAACAGAUCCUGCUUGGUUGAUGCUUAACAGCCGCCGAAGGGGGAAUAAACGGUAAGAAUCCUCCCCGUUACGGGGGAAUAAGCCGAAAAAUUUUGUCCUAUUACCGCAAACCCCCUUCGGGGAAAAGCAGGGGCUCUUUCGGACCUUGCACUAUUGGGAUGAGCCUGCGUGAGAUUAGCUAGUUGGUGAGGUAAUGGCUCACCAAGGCGACGAUCUCUAGCUGGUCUGAGAGGAUGAUCAGCCACACUGGGACUGAGACACGGCCCAGACUCCUACGGGAGGCAGCAGUGGGGAAUAUUGCACAAUGGGCGCAAGCCUGAUGCAGCCAUGCCGCGUGUGUGAAGAAGGCUUAGGGUUGUAAGCACUUCAGUCGUGAGAAGUGUGUGCUUAAUACGUACAUACUGUGACGUAGCGACAGAGAGACCGCUAACUCCGUGCCAGCAGCCGCGUAUACGAUGUCCGAGCGUUAUCGGAUUACUGCGCGUAAGCGCGCGUAGGUGGAUUGGUCAGUCAGAUGUGAAGCCAGCUCAACCUUGGAACUGCAUCUGAUACUGCUAGUCUAGAUACAGUAGAGGUAGUGCAGUUCUGUGUAGCGUGAAUGCGUAGAUAUAGAGAACAGUGCGAGCGACUAYGGACUGAUAUGACACUGAGUGCGAAAGCGUGGGGAGCAAACAGGAUUAGAUACCCUGGUAGUCCACGCCGUAAACGAUGUCUACUAGCCGUUGGAAGACUUGAUCUUUUAGUGGCGAAGCUAACGCGAUAAGUAGACCGCCUGGGGAGUACGGCCGCAAGGUUAAAACUCAAAUGAAUUGACGGGGGCCCGCACAAGCGGUGGAGCAUGUGGUUUAAUUCGACGCAACGCGAAGAACCUUACCAACUCUUGACAUCCAGAGAAGAGGCUAGAGAUAGCUUUGUGCCUUCGGGAACUCUGAGACAGGUGCUGCAUGGCUGUCGUCAGCUCGUGUUGUGAAAUGUUGGGUUAAGUCCCGUAACGAGCGCAACCCUUGUCCUUAUUUGCCAGCACGUAAUGGUGGGAACUCUAAGGAGACUGCCGGUGACAAACCGGAGGAAGGUGGGGACGACGUCAAGUCAUCAUGGCCCUUACGAGUUGGGCUACACACGUGCUACAAUGGCCGGUACAGAGGGCUGCAAACCUGCGAAGGUAAGCUAAUCUCACAAAACCGGUCGUAGUCCGGAUUGGAGUCUGCAACUCGACUCCAUGAAGUCGGAAUCGCUAGUAAUCGUGGAUCAGAAUGCCACGGUGAAUACGUUCCCGGGCCUUGUACACACCGCCCGUCACACCAUGGGAGUGGAUUGCACCAGAAGUAGCUAGCUUAACCUUCGGGAGGGCGGUUACCACGGUGUGGUUCAUGACUGGGGUGAAGUCGUAACAAGGUAUCCGUA
rnacentral:rRNA from 1 species